AGAAUAUUCAUAAAUUCAUCAUAGAUAAAGUUAUAGUAAAAAAUGUUUACGAAUUAUUGAUAAUUAUUCAGUUUAGUACCCCUCAUUUCAAAUAUUGAUGUAAUUAUGUAACUUAUAUUUUUUAUGAAACAAUGGGGAACAUUAAUGCCAUAAAAGCAAAAAAUGUAAAAUUUUAUUGUGUUAAAAGUUUCACUCUCAGCAUUUUAUUUUUUAGGUUAGAAUUUCUUUUUAAGCAAGGAAAUGUGUGAUAAACAUGUGGAGCCCCAUGGCACGCUAGGUUUCUGUAUAACUCCAUCCAUACGCUGUUUGAUUGACCAACUUUAUUAAUAAUUCAGUAAAUAAUAAUCUGAACCAAAAUUGGUAAUGGAACUUUUAGUUUAAAAUUUCACCUUCUUUCACUUUGUAAAAGAAAAA